UACAGAGGUCUCAAGCGUUGUUCGGAUUCAUUGGGCGUAAAGGGUGCGUAGGCGGCGCGGUAAGUCGGGUGUGAAAUUCCGAGGCUUAACUUCGAAACUGCAUUCGAUACUGCCGUGCUUGAGGACUGGAGAGGAGACUGGAAUUUACGGUGUAGCGGUGAAAUGCGUAGAUAUCGUAAGGAAGACCAGUGGCGAAGGCGGGUCUCUGGACAGUUCCUGACGCUGAGGCACGAAGGCCAGGGGAGCAAACGGG
rnacentral:rRNA from 1 species